AUCCAGGUGAUGAGUCCCAAAUAGAACGAGACGCACGUCCUGGUU
rfam:Schistosoma margrebowiei strain Zambia genome assembly, scaffold: SMRZ_contig0002259